rnacentral:sRNA from 1 species
GCUGCUGUUGUUGCUGUUGCUUCAGCCAAUUUGGCGGCUGCUGCUGCUGCUGCUGCUGCUGCUGUGACUGCGGUGGCGGCGGC